UGUUUUUCCCAUUCGCAAAUCGGGGCUGAGGACGGGGAAUACAUUUUUUCUCUCUUCUUUCUUUUUUUUUCUUCUUCUUUUUCUCUCUCGCCGCAUUCCAUUUAUAUUUUUCUCUCUUCUUUCCUUUUUUUUCUUCUUCUUCUUCUCUGUGGCUUUCUCCAUUCCAUAUUUCCAUUCUUUUCUCUUCUAUUCUCCAUUUUCUUCCUUUCUCCAUUCCAUUGUUUUCUGCACGCCGCCGCCUCUUCCUUUUCUUCUAAAUUUUACUCAUCAACUACCAUUUAGAUCUAGCCAUGGAUAAAUCUACAUUUUUUGGUGGUAGACAUGUGGGUCCACAUCGUUCUCAAAUUCAUGAAAACUUAUUGGAAGCUUUGAUGUAUACUCAAGAUUGGCUAUGGGCUGAAGAUAAGCAUACUCCUAUUGAUGCUAAAGUGUUGGCAAAUGUUCUUCACGAUCGAAACUUAGACGAUGAUGAACCAUUUCCUACAAAGUUGGAUAAAAUUCGUUGAUGGUUUGGGUCGACUUUGGCUAUGUUGUGAACCUUUUCUUACCAUUUCCUGAAAAGUAUAUGUAUUGUGUCUUGAAUAGUUAUUUUGUAAACUUCUCUUCAAAACUUCGG